CCCUAUGGGGUGCAGCAGGAGCGGUUGCAGGCCAUGGUCCAGGAGAUGCUCUCGGACGUCGACGAAAACAAGGUUUAUCAUUAAGAGAUAUGGCGGAUCUAAAUGUACCGUAGCUCAAAACAUAGAACCGACUAUGUCUUUAAGGCAUCGUCUGGCUUAAUCGGUAUUUCAGCAACAGCCAACUCCCUAAGGGGCCGUAGAUAUACUCGUUGAGGAUGGAAAAUUACGCUUUCGUAGGAGCGGCAUCUUGCCGCGACGUUGCGCCGACAGGAUAAGCCCCCCAGAUCAAGCAUUCAAACCCGAACGGGUAUAUUUAUGGGGGAGUGAGACUUGGGCGCGGUGGGCAGGGCGCGACAGGAAGCGUUUGCAAUAAUAAAAGAAACGGGGCGCACCCUGUCCACCCUACGGUUGGUUUUCGGGGGGCGGCGGGAGAGC
rnacentral:rRNA from 1 species